GGGGGACGUCCGGCUUCGGCGGGUGGCGAUCGUGGUGUUGCCGAGUGGAGAGCGAAUUAAAAAUGGGUGAUGUUGAGAAAGGCAAGAAGAUUUUUGUUCAGAAGUGUGCCCAGUGUCAUACCGUGGAAAAGGGAGGCAAGCACAAAACUGGACCAAAUCUCCAUGGUCUGUUUGGGAGGAAGACAGGUCAGGCGCCUGGAUUCUCUUACACAGAUGCCAACAAGAACAAAGGCAUCACCUGGGGAGAGGACACACUGAUGGAGUACCUGGAGAAUCCCAAAAAGUACAUCCCUGGAACAAAAAUGAUCUUCGCUGGGAUUAAGAAGAAGGGAGAGAGGGCAGACCUAAUAGCUUAUCUUAAAAAGGAGUAUAGAAUAAGCCACUAUAACAAAGACACCUAA